rnacentral:rRNA from 1 species
ACAGAGGUCCCAAGCGUUGUUCGGAUUCACUGGGCGUAAAGGGUGCGUAGGUGGCGGGGUAAGUCGGAUGUGAAAUCUCGGAGCUCAACUCCGAAAUGGCAUUGGAAACUACCCUGCUCGAGGAUUGGAGGGGGGACUGGAAUACUUGGUGGCGCAAUGAAUGGCGUAGAUAUUAACUGGAAGACCAGUGGGGAAGGGGAGCCCAUGGGCAUCUCCCGAAACUGAGGCUCGACAGCUAGGUGAUCAAACAG